rnacentral:rRNA from 1 species
UACAGAGGGGGCAAGCGUUGUUCGGAAUUACUGGGCGUAAAGGGCGCGUAGGCGGCCUGUUAAGUCGAACGUGAAAUCCCCGGGCUCAACCCGGGAACUGCGUCCGAUACUGGCAGGCUUGAAUCCGGGAGAGGGAUGUGGAAUUCCAGGUGUAGCGGUGAAAUGCGUAGAUAUUCGGCGGAACACCAGUGGCGAAGGCGACUCACUGGCCCGAUACUGACGCUGAGGCGCGAAAGCGUGGGGAGCAAACAGG